AUAUUUUAGUUAAUUCAAAUGGUCUGAUUUUAAGCGAAGAAGACCUAAAUCGAAAUUGAAAAUUGAUGGUGAAGAUGAAAGGAUGGUUAGGGCAAAUGGGUUUCAACAAAAAUGGCGGAAAUAUUAACUGGUUCCCUGGUCAUAUGGAUGCUGCUAAUCGUGCCAUUCGCCGCCGGCUCAAACUCUCCGAUUUUGUCAUUGAACUCCGUGAUGCCCGUAUACCAUUAUCCUCCGCAAAUGAAGACUUGCAGCCUAUGCUUUGUGAGAAAAGACGGGUGAUUUCCCUCAAUAAGAAAGAUUUGGCCAAUCCCAACAUCAUGCAUAGAUGGAUCCGAUAUUUCAAUUCAUGUAAACAAGAGUGCUUCCCAAUAAAUGCACACAGUAGAAGUUCUGUGCAAAAGCUUCUCGAUAUUGUGGAGUUUAAAUUGAAGGAAGUUAUUUCAAGGGAACCUACUCUUCUUGUCAUGGUGGUUGGUGUUCCUAAUGUCGGAAAAUCAGCUUUAAUCAAUUCCAUCCAUCAAAUUGCAUCAUCCCGAUUUCCAGUGCAGGAGAAGAUGAAGAGGGCUACAGUGGGGCCUUUGCCUGGUGUUACUCAAGAUAUUGCUGGAUAUAAGAUUGCACAUCAACCUAGCAUAUAUGUGUUGGACACUCCAGGUGUGUUGGUUCCAAGUAUUCCAGAUAUUGAAACAGGGUUAAAGCUGGCCCUAGCAGGGUCCAUCAAGGAUUCAGUUGUUGGUGAAGAUCGAAUUGUUCAAUACCUAUUGGCAGUUCUAAACACUAGAGGAACUCCUCUUCAUUGGAGACACUUGAUCGGUAGGGAAACUGAGGGCCUUCAUCAUGAGUUGGAUGACAAACCUGAAUAUAAUCUCAAGGAUCUUCUACCAAAAAGAAGGAAGCCACCCAACAAAUCUGAUAUCUACUACAUAGAGGUAAUACAUGAUGUUUUUUUUAAAAGGUCCAAGUUUUAUCGAUGAAAUACUUAGAAGUGUAGUUACAUGUGUACCCAAUUUGGAAAGUUUAUGAUUAUAAAACCAAAUUUAACCAUAUAUAAUCAAAAUAAACCAUGAAACUUCUCUUAUUCCUAACAAAUGGAGUUAAAACUACUUUAAAUUUAUUUAUUUAUUUGGCAUGUGUUGUACUAGUUGAUUGUUUCUUUCGCUUUGUAUAUCUUAUUAUCUUGUUACUGCCUGAUAUUACUGCUCUUUUUUCAUCUCUCCUUGCCUUACCGGAAACAACAACCUUACCAUCACAAGGUAAGGGUAAGGUCUGUGUUCAGACUAUCCUCCUUAGACCCCAUUUGUGGGAGUAUGCUGGGUAUGUUGUUGUUGUGUUGAAAUCUAAUACAAAGUAAGGAUAUGGUCAGUGAAGUCAAAUGCACACUAUGCACCACACUGUCAGAGUUCAAUGGUAAUUUGGAAGAUGAAGGCGAGUUGGAGAUUUUGAUAGAUCAGCAGUUUGAAGCAUUGCAAACGGCUCUAAAGAUACCUUAC